GACAGAGGAUGCAAGCGUUAUCCGGAUUGAUUGGGCGUAAAGCGUCUGUAGGUGGUUACGCUAGUCGGCUGUUAAAGAUCAGGGCUGAACCCUGAGCAAGCAGUCGAAACUGCGUGGCUGGAGUACGGUAGGGGCAGAGGGAAUUCCCGGUGUAGCGGUGAAAUGCGUAGAUGUCGGGAAGAACACCAAGGCGAAAGCGCUCUGCUGG
rnacentral:rRNA from 1 species